rnacentral:rRNA from 1 species
AAACUUACUAAAUGCUAGCUUUCAGAUUCAGGGAAUCUUAGGUUGACAAAAAAAAGAUAAGUAAUCCUGAGCCAAAUUUUUUAUUUAAAAAGCAAAAUAGGUGCAGAGACUCGAUGGAAGCUAUCCUAACAUGUGUAAAUGAAAUCCAAAAAAUUUCAUGAAA